rnacentral:rRNA from 1 species
AUGCACGCUGGCGGCGUGCCUAAUCCCUGCCAGUCGAGCGCACGGACGAGAAGCUUGCUUUUCUGAUGUUAGCGGCGGACGGGUGAGUAACACGUGGAUAACCUACCUAUAAGACUGGGAUAACUUCGGGAAACCGGAGCUAAUACCGGAUAAUAUUUUGAACCGCAUGGUUCAUAAGUGAAAGACGGUCUUGCUGUCACUUAUAGAUGGAUCCGCGCUGCAUUAGCUAGUUGGUAAGGUAACGGCUUACCAAGGCAACGAUGCAUAGCCGACCUGAGAGGGUGAUCGGCCACACUGGAACUGAGACACGGUCCAGACUCCUACGGGAGGCAGCAGUAGGGAAUCUUCCGCAAUGGGCGAAAGCCUGACGGAGCAACGCCGCGUGAGUGAUGAAGGUCUUCGGAUCGUAAAACUCUGUUAUUAGGGAAGAACAUAUGUGUAAGUAACUGUGCACAUCUUGACGGUACCUAAUCAGAAAGCCACGGCUAACUACGUG